UCAAAUGUAACAACAUACUAUAAGAACCUCCAACAUCAUAGUUGGCAUAGAAAACCAACUCCAGUACCAUAAAGCUUCUCUUCUCUACUUUUAUGUUAAAGGACAACUAUGAAACAAAGCAAGAAUGAAGAAAGACCCAGGUUGUAUAACUUUAUGCAUGUUAUGACAUACAGACAGUGCAGUCAUUUGGGCAAAAUCCUAGACUGGUGAAUAUAAAUUGUUCAGAAAGGGAGAAGACUAAGAUGUUUUAAGAUCCUCUAAGCAUUUAAGAUUCCCCCAAAGAAUCCACUCUCAGAGAAAACAGAAUUAGAAAGUGUACAACAGGGAGAAAUGAAGCAGAAAGGGGAGAGAUGAUUUCCAAAGAUUUCCAAAGGCAAGAUUCUGAGAUCAGAAAUAUCAAAAAACACAAGUAUAUAAAUAAAGAGGAAAAAAAACUAACAACAGAAGGAAAUAUGGCCAUCAAAUUUAGUGUACAAAUUCGGGCAUAUGUGAAUAGACACUGUGAAACCAAGAAAAGUGAUCCAAUAUUUGAUGAGAUAGAAAACCCAAUGGAAUGUGAAGAGAGCAGAAACUACAAUAUACUGUUAACCUGAGUUAUUCAAAAGAAAAAUGAGAAUUAUGAGAGUAAAAUUUAACUCCUAUCUAGAAAAAAUAAUGAAUUUUAAAAAUCCUGGAAUUUGCAAUCAUCACAAAAAGAAACAACAGAGAGAGAAUAAUAGAUUUAGAGUACAAAUAUACAUGAGUAAAGAACAAUCUAGAAAAAAAAGCAAAAAACAAAUCAAUAACAAUAAAGAAAAUGUUUACUGUGCAACCAAAACAUAUGGAUCUUGAAAUCAGGAUGGGAAGAGACAACCUAAGAAUCAAAAAUUUCCUAGAAGAACACAACAGAACAAAAAAUUCUUAACAGCACAAUGCAGGAAUAAAGAAAACUGCCCAGAACUUCUGAACAUAGUAAAUAAAAUAUCAAUUGAAAUAAUUUACAAAUCACCCAGGGAUGAUGGUGGCAGGGAACAAUACUAUAAAUUCCAAGACACAUGGCAGUCAAAUUUAACAAUUCAGUUCAGAAACAUAUUUUUCAUAUGAUCAAAAUAAAACCUGCCAAUACAAAAGAAAGAAAAUUCAAAUAACACAAGACUAUUUUUCACUCACCAGAAAAACGUAGGAGGGCAUAGAAUAAUGUGUUCCAAAGAGCAAUGUAUCUCAAGAUGCAGCCCAGAAUGACUUACCCUGCAAAUGUGAGUUUAAUCAUACAUGAAAAAAGAUAGAUGUUCAAAAACAAAGAGACAUUUAAAACAUUUUUAGAAAGAAAUCCUAAAGUGAAGAAAUUUGCUUCUGAAAUAUCCCAAAUAACAAAAAUACAUGAGGAGUGAAUAAAUGAAGCAAAGACAAUAAUAGCAACAGAAUGAUGAAAAGAGACCAAUAAGAAUUUUUUUUCCCCACACAAGGUGACAAAGGUGAAGACAAAAGUCUGGUUAAGAUUAUAGGAAAGAAGAACAGAGGGCAUGAUGGACAGAACCUGGUGAUACUCCAUCUAUAGAUGAAUCAAUACUUGGGUGCUUUUUUUUUGGGGGGGGGGGAAGCUAGUACAUCAUAACAUGAAGGGUACAUGAAAGAGGAGGAAGGAAGCAAACAGAUAAAGAAGAAUGUGUGAUGUGCUAAGACCAAAUCAAUUUUCUCAAAUGAGGGAAAAGUGACCCCUGUUAUCUCAGAAAAAGAAGAAUAUAUAGGACAGUGGAUGAGGAGAAGGGGGAAGAAUUGAAAAGGGAGAGAGAAAAGAAGGAAGCUUUACUUUGAUAAUAGAAUGGUGUGUUCCA